CCUACGGGCGUCAGCAGUGAGGCAUAUUGGUCAAUGGGUGGAAGCCUGAACCAGCCAAGUCGCGUGAGGGAUUAAGGCCCUGCGGGUCGUAAACCUCUUUUGCCGGGGAGCAGAGGUCCGGACGUGUCCGGGCCGGGAGAGUACCCGGAGAAAAAGCAUCGGCUAACUCCGUGCCAGCAGCCGCGGUAAUACGGAGGAUGCGAGCGUUAUCCGGAUUUAUUGGGUUUAAAGGGUGCGUAGGCGGGCAUUUAAGCCGGCGGUCAAAUGUCGGGGCUCAACCCCGGCCUGCCGUCGGCACUGGGUGCCUUGAGUGGGCGAGAAGUAUGCGGAAUGCGUGGUGUAGCGGUGAAAUGCAUAGAUAUCACGCAGAACCCCGAUUGCGAAGGCAGCAUACCGGCGCCCUACUGACGCUGAGGCACGAAAGUGCGGGUAUCGAACAGGAUGAGAUACCCGAGUAGUC
rnacentral:rRNA from 1 species